rnacentral:misc_RNA from 1 species
GAUGAAGAACGUAGUGAAAUGCGAUACUUGGUGUGAAUUGCAGAAUCCCGUGAACCAUCGAGUCUUUGAACGCAAGUUGCGCCCGAAGCCAUCAGGUUGAGGGCACGUCUGCCUGGGCGUCACAUAUCGUUGCCCAAUGCCUAUUGCAGUGCAAUAGGAAUUUCUAGGGCGAAUGAUGGCUUCCCGUGAGCGUUGUUGCCUCGCGGUUGGUUGAAAAUCGAGUCCUUGGUAGGGUGUGCCAUGGUAGAUGGUGGUCGAGUUAGAACGAUACCGAUCAUGUGCAUGCUCCCCAAAAUAUGGCAUCUAUGACCCACACGCGUCUUUUGACGCUCAUGACGAGACCUCAGGUCAGGCGGGGCUACCCGCUGAAUUUAAGCAUAUCAAUAAGCGGAGGA